rnacentral:rRNA from 1 species
UACAGAGGGUGCAAGCGUUGUUCGGAAUUACUGGGCGUAAAGCGCGCGUAGGUGGCUAAGCAAGUCCUGUGUGAAAGCCUCAGGCUUAACCUGAGAGGGUCAUGGGAAACUACUUAGCUCGAGGAUGGGAGAGGAGAGUGGAAUUCCCGGUGUAGAGGUGAAAUUCGUAGAUAUCGGGAGGAACACCAGAGGCGAAGGCGGCUCUCUGGCCCAUUUCUGACACUCUGGCGCGAAAGCGUGGGUAGCAAACAGGAUUAGAUACCCUGGUAGUCCACGCCGUAAACGAUGUGCACUAGUUGUUGGAGGAUAUUGACCCCUUCAGUGACGCAGCUAACGCAAUAAGUGCACCGCCUGGGGAGUACGGUCGCAAGAUUAAA